rfam:Virgibacillus massiliensis genome assembly, contig: 000001
CAUAUCCUGAUGUGUUCGUUCAUGAAAAGUGUUUUGACCGAACAACUAUAAACAUGGGAGCUCGCAAAUAGUUUCUAUAUUGCGUGCGUGCCUCCAAUGAGAGGAAGCAUAACAAAUAUAGAACAGAGCACCCACCUGCCAAGAGCGGGAUCAAAGCUUCAAACUGGACGGCACAAUCGGGAUUGUG